rnacentral:lncRNA from 1 species
AAGAGCAAAUGUGAUAAAUUUUACAGGUGUUUGUCUCGACCAUCAACUGGAUCAAAGAGAUUGUGGUGUGUGUGUUUGUGUGUGCUGUGUUGAGAUACCAUUGUUGAGGAAGAGUUGCAUUCCAAGUUGCACAACUUGGCAUGCACAAACGGGAAAAGAUGUGUACAAAGUUCUUGUGAGCAUCCACUGUUGUUGAACAUGUUGGAUAUGCCAUUCCUGGUCCAACAUGGACAAAAAAUGGACACAGAAUUGGUUAAGGGCAAAGCUAAAAGGCCUACACUGGAUCAAAAAGAGAUUGUGGAGUGUGAUGUGAGCUGUGUUGAGAUACAAUUGUUGAGGAAGAGUUGCAGUUAGUUCAACAACUUGGAUGCGUGAUUUCUUCUUACCAACACAGUGGACUGAAGACAAACCUACUCCAUGAACCACUUUCAAUUCUGCUUUCCAAAUGAAAUAUAGAACUAAAUGCAGUUCAUCCAACGGAGUGGAUCGAGUCCAGCAAUAAUGUUGUGAUUACCAGCAGUUCUGAUAAGUGAUCUACUCGGCCAGCAAACAGGAGAUAUGGACAUUCAGUUGUAAACCAUUGUGAGUGGUUGUAUGUGGAUUUUUAGAAGAUUUGAACAGCCGGUUAUGAAGCAAUGCAUGUUUUUUUGAGUGGACAUCAAUAUUCAGUUAAAACCAGUGUAUGGAUUUUUGAGCAAAUUAUAAUUGUGUAUUAUCAGAAUGAUAUUUCUGGGGUGUUAAGAAAUCACUUACUUUGACAUUCGGAGAACAGAGACUAUAUGAAUAGUGCAAUUUAAAUAAGUGGAUUAUCAAAAUACAUGAGAAAUUUUUCCUGUUUGUUUUUGAUGACUGGAGUAGAAAACACAAACAGUAACAGUUGACAGUGAAUUUUUUAUUAACAAAUCAAACGGUGUAAACAGGAAAUUUAAAACUUUUAAGAAAGUGGCCUUUUGUGUGAAAGUGGCACAGUCAGAUAUUUUACUGUCUAAAGAACAAGAAAUUUACA